rnacentral:rRNA from 1 species
UACAGAGGUCUCAAGCGUUGUUCGGAUUCAUUGGGCGUAAAGGGUGUGUAGGUGGCGCGCUAAGUCGGGUGUGAAAUUUCGGAGCUUAACUCCGAAACUGCAUUCGAUACUGGCGUGCUUGAGGACUGGAGAGGAGACUGGAAUUACGGUGUAGCGGUGAAAUGCGUAGAAUAUCGAUGAAGGAAGACCAGUGGCGGAAGGCGGGUC